rnacentral:rRNA from 1 species
UACGUAGGUGGCAAGCGUUGUCCGGAAUUAUUGGGCGUAAAGCGCGCGCAGGCGGCCUCUUAAGUCUGAUGUGAAAGCCCCCGGCUCAACCGGGGAGGGCCAUUGGAGACUGGGAGGCUUGAGUAUAGGAGAGAAGAGUGGAAUUCCACGUGUAGCGGUGAAAUGCGUAGAGAUGUGGAGGAACACCAGUGGCGAAGGCGACUCUUUGGCCUAUAACUGACGCUGAGGCGCGAAAGCGUGGGGAGCAAACAGG